rnacentral:tRNA from 1 species
AUAUAUAUAGCUCAGUGAUAAAGUGUUUGCUCAGCAUGCACAAGUCCCUGGGUUUAAUUCCCAGUACAAAAA